UACAGGGGGGGCAAGCGUUGUUCGGAAUUACUGGGCGUAAAGGGUUCGUAGGUGGCUCACUAAGUCACACGUGAAAUCCCUCAGCUUAACUGGGGAACUGCGUGUGAAACUGGAGAGCUUGAGGGUAGGAGAGGAAUGCGGAAUUCCAGGUGUAGCGGUGAAAUGCGUAGAUAUCUGGAGGAACACCGGUGGCGAAGGCGGCAUUCUGGACUAUUUCUGACACUGAUGAACGAAGGCCAGGGGAGCAAACGGG
rnacentral:rRNA from 1 species